rnacentral:lncRNA from 1 species
ACCUGACCGCCUGCAUGUUUUCAACAGGAGGACGUAUUUUCGAGGCAGACACAUUUUGAAUUGCACUCAUGGUCAUAAAUACACUUCCAACCAAAACGCAGCCAAUAAAAAACCAAGUCUCAAUACCAAAUUGCCACAAGUGACCAUAUCCAAUACUGUAUUAGAAAUAUAUACAGAAACGUUGCUUAAAAAUCCAGUUCUUGCAAGCGAAGUCAGGUUAAUAUAGAUACCGUUGUAUUAACUUUUCCGUUUCUGGUAAGAACCGCAUGAUAUCGUCAAUUUGUGUCCAAAUCUUGCCCAACGCUUACAGAUUUUUCUAAGCUGUCAAUUCUCCAUUUUAAUGUCAACGUGCUUAGCGUAUAAAUUCCUGAAGCGUAACUAUAAAUAUCCCAGGCGUAAGAGAUAGUUUAGAAUAAUGGCUGUUCGAGUCAUAUUGUCGCGGUAAACGUUCCCCAACACAUGUUUGGAAGGAUAAAAUGAAAGAAUUCGACGUGAUGAGCGAUUUCGUUUCAAUGUAAGGCGUUUUGUUGAAGAAUAUCGAGACGGAUUCCUUGAUG